CGACCGGCGCACGGGUGCGUAACGCGUAUGCAACCUACCAUCAACAGGGGGAUAACACUGAGAAAUUGGUACUAAUACCCCAUAAUAUCUCAUGCGGCAUCGCAUGGGGUUGAAAACUCCGGUGGUUGAUGAUGGGCAUGCGUUGUAUUAGCUGGUUGGUGAGGUAACGGCUCACCAAGGCGACGAUACAUAGGGGGACUGAGAGGUUAACCCCCCACAUUGGUACUGAGACACGGACCAAACUCCUACGGAAGGCAGCAG
rnacentral:rRNA from 1 species